rnacentral:lncRNA from 9 species
GAAGCAUGUUCAUGAUUAAAUCUGUAUGCUGGCUUAUUUGAGUGACUGCUCUCUGAUUGCGGUUUCCUCAGUCCUAGUUCUUCCUCUUCUUUUUUUUUUUUUUUUUCUCUUCUUUUUUCUUCCCUUUCCUUCCUUUCUUUUUGGUUUAGAGAAGCCCUUUCAAUAUUUCCUUUAACCUGGGUUUUGUGUUGCUGUAUUCUUUAAGUUUUUGUUUGUUGGGAAAAAUUUUUAUUUCCCCUUCUAUUUUAAAUGAUAUUCUUGCUGGAUAGAGUAUUCUAGGUUGCAUAUUUUUUCCUUUGAGCACUCUAAAUAUCUCUUGCCAUUCCCUCCUGGCCUGUAGUGUUUCUGUAGAGAAAUCAGCUGAUAUUCUUAUGGGGGUUCCCUUGUAGGUAACAUUCUGGUUUUCUCUUGCUGCCUUUAGGAUCCUCUCUUUAUCACUAACUUUUGCCAUUUUUAUUAUGAUGUGUCUUGGUGUGGGUCUGUUUGGGUUCCGUUUGUUUGGGGCCCUCUGUGCUUCUUGUAUCUUGAACCCAGUAUCCUUUAGAUUUGGGAAGUUUCCAGUGAUAAUUUCUUCAAAUAUAUUUUCCAUCCCCUUAUCUUUUUCUACUCCUUCUGGAAUUCCUAUUAUGCGUAGAUUGGCCCGCUUUAUAUUAUCCUAUAGGUCUCUUAUAUUGCUUUCCAGUUUUUUGAUUUGGUUUUCUGUCUGUUGACUGGAUUGAGUGAUUUCCAUUAUUCUAUCUUCCAUAUCACUGAUUCGUUCUUCUGCAUUAUUCAUUCUGGUUUUUACUGCCCCUAGUCCAGUUUGCAUCUCUGCAAAUGAAUGUUCUAGUUUUUCUUGGCUCCUCCUUAUAUUUUCUAGUUCCUUUCUGAGGGUAUCUGCAUUACUGUUCAUAUCUUCUCUUAGUUCCUUCAGUAUUUUCACUAUUUCUCUUUUGAACUCCAGGUCUGUCUGACUGCAGAGAUCUGUUUCAUUGCUGACUGUUUUAGGUGAGUUCUCCUGUUGGUUUGACUGGGAGUGGUUUCUCAGCUUCUUCAUCUUGCUUGUUGUUUUCUUUCUCCUGAGGGAGUUGUACUCUCCGUUAUCGGGCAGUGUUUGCCUUGUCACUGCUGUGGAAUAUUUCCUGAGGGCUGGCGUUGUUGGUCAAUCUUUUUUGAGGCAGUGUGGCUUUUCUGGAGUGUUGAUGGGGCUAACAGUGUUUCUUUGAAGCAAAGGAGGGCUUCCUUAGGGCAGACAGGACUGGGAGGUCCACACCACGAUGGUAGCAGAUUUCACUUGGUCAUGCAGAGCUUGGUCUGGUGUUUUUAGGCUGUGGGGUUCUUGCAGGGGGUUGGCGGUGUUGGGCAGCUGCUCUUCAGGGGUGCAUCACCCCCUGGGGGCUGGAGCAGCUAUCUGGGUCACUGAGAACCUAAGAGGCUCUUCCCUAGGGCAGCCCAACUCAGAAGGACAGCCUGAGAAUAUAGGCGGAUCUUUUCACAGUCUGGCCGAGCUUGUUGCAGCUUUUCUGGGCUGCAGGGGCUCUUCCAGGGGGCUGGUGGUGCUGAGCAGUUAUUUCACGGGAGUGGGGCACCCCCUGGGGGCUUGGGCGGGUAGCAGGGCCGUUGGAGACCCAAGAGGCUCCUCCCCAGGGCAGCCCAACUCAGAAAAACCGUGUGAGAUCUUUUCCCAACUCAGCCAGGCUUGUUGCAGCUUUUCUGGGCUGCAGGGGGGUCCUGCCUGGAGCUGGCAGUCCUAUGCAGCUGGUCCACUAGAGCAUCCCCUGGGGGCUUGGGCGGGUAGCAGGGCUGUUGGAAACCCAAGAGGCUCCUCCCCAGGGCAACCCGACUCAGAAAAACCGUCCGAGAAUUAGGCCGAUCUAUUCACAGCCUGGCUAAGCUUGUUCUAGCUUUUCUGGGCUGCAGGCCUUUUCUCGGGGGCUGGUGGUGUUUGGUGUUGCUCUGCGGAAGUGUAGCCCCUCCAAAGGGCAAGCAGGCCUGUGCAGGGACAGCCCCUGUGGUGGUAGGCUUCAGGCAAUUGUUGAGGCCAGCCCUCCUGGAUGGCAGGCAGCCCCAGGUCCGUGAGAGCGUAAGGCGUGGCGGGGGUGGGGGGAGGGGAUGCACUGGGAAGCACAGUUUUCAGCUAGCUAGCGGGCCUGUAAGCUUGCUGUGGCGUGGGGGGUAUUCUAUGGGGACCCACCCCUUCUUCUCUCCCCUCCCCAGGCCAGGCGCAGACCAGGCUCUUCUCCCAGGUUCCCUCUGAUGCGGCUUUCCACUUCCCCGCCCCUAGAGUAUUGCUCCCUUCCUCUGCGACAGCUUUGUUUUCUAGUCUCCCAGGCAGUCUCUGCCCCGUCAAAUGGUUUAGAGACCUCCCAAGCAGUUUCCGCUCUUCCCCGCCCCCCUAGCCCGGGGACUAAUCUCUGGAGCCGAGGUCUCGGUGCCCAGUCCCCCCCCCAGGCGUCCCCCGGCCCUUUCUUGGGGACUAACCUUCGGAGGCGAGGUCUCGGUGCCCACCCCCACCCAGGCGUCUCAAUUUUUGGUGACUGUGCCCGUAGUUCAGAUGGUCCGUUGGGUUCUUGAUCGUUUUUCCGUACUCCGACUUACUGCUACACUCUUCUCUGCAUCUGGAGAUUCCUCCGGUUCGUUUGAUCUUUCCCCCGGUAGGAGACUUUCCAGGGUGCGGGAUCCCUUUCUCCUCCGCAGUUCCCUUUCGGGAGCGCCCGUCCCGCUCGGAUUCACCUUCUCUCACUCUCCUCUUUUCUC